GCCCUGGUAGCUCAGUGGUAGAGCGUUCGCUUGGUAAGCGAAAGGUCGCGAGUUCAAUAACCACUCUUUCCGAGAGCUUCCGCAUCUGCAAAGAGCGGUUGGCCAGAAAGGUAAUGAGGACCUCGCCCAGGGCU
rnacentral:tRNA from 1 species